GUUGACAGAUGGUGAUCCAGCCUUCACAUAAAGGUUCCUGGGAAGAGGAGGCCUACCCAUCUGAAGAUCAUCAACUAUACUUCUAACACCACUCUACAGUUAGAGAGUUAAAGAUGGAUACCAGAUGGACACCAUCUGCAUCUAUGAUUAAUGGACCAAUGUUUCUCUACAAUGGGCAAAAAUAUGGGACACCAGAAAGAUGCCUGAACAUCUAGAGAAGAGGACCAAAGUCGACUGUGGAAGCAAAAGAAGUUAACUGAGGUGUGGGGACUAUUCUAGAAAAAAAAUCUUCUCUCUUCCAUGAUGCUGCAGCGCCUGUGUUCCCACUUGUAGGUUGAAAAAUGAAGCUUCCUCUGUGCAACUUCACCAAGUUUCACUGCAAUAAUCUGUAACUCAGAGUCUGGUGGGCCUUAAAAAGGACAGAGGGAUAGGUGUCAUAACAGUGAUAAUUUUUAUUUAAGACUAAUUUACAGAUUUUUGAAGAAUUAAAUUUUUUGUACAUCAACACCUGUAUUUUA